AUUUGGGUCAUUGUUGAGAUAAAGAAGAUGAAGCGAGAAAAUAGAUAUGAUCUUGGAUUUGAUAGUUGUGUAUCUGAUGGAAAUUAUAGCUUGGGGAGGCGUUAAUAUAUAGAGAGUAAGUGUAGGUAUACGAAGGGUCACUACGCGUAGGGAUAAUUAUUACAAAUGCAUGCAAUAUUUAUACACAUAUCUAUGCAAGAAAC
rnacentral:lncRNA from 1 species